UGCAACAGUGUUGGAAGGUGGAGACUUUGGGGAGGAGUUUAGGUCAUAAAGGCUUUGCCCUCAUGAAUGGAUUAAUGCCACUACAAAAAGGGUUUGCAGGAGUAGGCCCACUCUCUCUUGUUCUUCUGCCUUCUGACAGGUUCAUUGCUAAGGAAUGGAUUGAAUCAGUACCUAAACCAGCUGACAGGUAGGUGUCCAACAAGCAUUUGGGUUUGAACACUGACCUACAAAUGAUUUGCCACAUCAAGUGACUUGUAUUUUAGGGAAGACGCCAAUGAGUCCUGUGUGAGUGAAUGGCUGCAUAAUUUUUACCUGGAUUAAAUUAUUUAGUUGGUUUUUCCACAUACAGGCCAAUGUCCUUUAUGAAUCCAAUUUGUCCACAAAAAUGUUUGAUACGCUUUCCCACAUCUUCUUCAGGCUCUCCUAUGCUACCUAAACUCUCAAGCAGCAGUAGAACAAAAGUGUCUCUUUAUGGAACCUUGAACAACGGUGCCAGUGGGAUGGUGCACAUAUAAAUAGAGAGAAAAGUCAAAUCACCUUUGUAACCAAAGGCAAUUCCCUUCGAAUGGUUCUUUCCCCACAAAAGAAUCCAGAUGGCAAAAAUGAUGCUUAAAUAAAUGCUGGCUACAGCUCAAUUCUUCUGGUUCAUAUUGGCUACAAUACAAAUGACACUCACAUUUCUAUAUUAACCAUUUCACAGGUUUUGUAUGAAGCAUAAGCUAAGUGUCCAAGGGCCCCUUGUGUUUAAAGAGUUAAGUCUUCUCUUCUUGGCAUAGCUGCUCUAGUCUGCAUUUGCUCAAAGGAGGAUUAAGGGUAAUGUGCAGCAGAGGAACAACUUAAGGAGACCUGGACUAUAUCUCCCUCCUCAAUAUACCUGCACAACGAGAAACACAGGGCUGCAGACUCCACUCUCCAAUUCUCUUUCACAUGCAUGGAAUUCAUUGAAACUAAUGGGAAGGAAAUUAUAGUCAUCUCACAGGUCUCCUAACUAUAGGUUUCUGUAUGGAUAAAUUUAACUUGUCAAGGUUUCUUACAGAACGACACAACUAAAGUCAAAUAGUCAACUAAGAAUAGCAGAAAAACCUAAAAGUAUUCAAUUCUCCCAUUUCAGUUAAAUAAAACCAGAUACAUUAUAGGCAAAGAUCAGAGUUUGACUGGAGAUUUUCCAAAAUGAUGCUAUAAUUUCUUGCUGAGUUAUGAAGUUAAACACAUAUAAAGUAAUAAAUAUCUGAACAAAAUAAAGACACUUCACUUAUUAUAUGAGAGUAUAAUUUUAAAAAUGAAUUGUUUAUAAACAAAUGAGGAUAUAUUAGGAUUGGCAGAAAAAAAUGAGGGAAUUACUGAAUGGCAUUUGACUGUCAUUCAGAAAGGGCAUAUUAUCCAGGAAACAUUGAAUUUAAUAAAUAAUAUUUGAAACAGAGAUAUGGACUAUAGUGCUUUAUUUGGGCAAAAUAAAGUGAUAAAAGUGAGUUUCUUCAGACAAAAAUCCUUCUCAAAAUAGAGUUAUAAAAAUCUUAUCCCAGCCAGGUGC
rnacentral:lncRNA from 10 species